UGGCUCUGGAGAAGCCCGGUGACGGGUACCGAAGGUGCAAGGCGGCAUGGCCCGCUGAAUCUCUCAGGUAAAAGGACAGAGUAGGGA
rnacentral:ncRNA from 1 species